rnacentral:rRNA from 1 species
UGAACGCUGGCGGUAUGCUUUACACAUGCAAGUCGUACGAGAGUUUUUAACUCAAGUGGCGGACGGGUGAGUAACACGUAAGAAUUUGCCUUUAGGAGGGGGACAACAACUAGAAAUGGUUGCUAAUACCCCAUAUGCUUUCGAGUGAAAUGGUUUAUACCGCCUAGAGAGAAGCUUGCGGCUGAUUAGCUUGUUGGUGAGGUAAUGGCUCACCAAGGAGACGAUCAGUAUCUGGUUUGAGAGGAUGAUCAGACACACUGGAACUGAGACACGGUCCAGACUCCUACGGGAGGCAGCAGUGGGGAAUUUUCCGCAAUGGGCGAAAGCCUGACGGAGCAAUCUCGCGUGAGGGAUGACGGCCUAUGGGUUGUAAACCUCUUUUUUCAGGGAGGAAUCAAUGACGUGUACCUGAAGAAUAAGCAUCGGCUAACUCC